AUUGAACGCUGGCGGCAGGCCUAACACAUGCAAGUCGAGCGGAUGAAGGGAGCUUGCUCCUGGAUUCAGCGGCGGACGGGUGAGUAAUGCCUAGGAAUCUGCCUGGUAGUGGGGGAUAACGUCCGGAAACGGGCGCUAAUACCGCAUACGUCCUGAGGGAGAAAGUGGGGGAUCUUCGGACCUCACGCUAUCAGAUGAGCCUAGGUCGGAUUAGCUAGUUGGUGGGGUAAAGGCCUACCAAGGCGACGAUCCGUAACUGGUCUGAGAGGAUGAUCAGUCGCACUGGAACUGAGACACGGUCCAGACUCCUACGGGAGGCAGCAGUGGGGAAUAUUGGACAAUGGGCGAAAGCCUGAUCCAGCCAUGCCGCGUGUGAAGAAGGUCUUCGGAUUGUAAAGCACUUUAAGUUGGGAGGAAGGGCAGUAAGUUAAUACCUUGCUGUUUUGACGUUACCAACAGAAUAAGCACCGGCUAACUUCGUG
rnacentral:rRNA from 1 species